UGCUGACAUGUUAAAAAACUCUACACAAAAGAUGCAUAUAUUUUAAACUCUAUAAAAUAUUAAAAAUUGACUGAUGGAAUAUGCCCAUGAUUAUCACUUUGUCCUCCAGUAUGUGACCCUGGUGCUGAGUCUCGUGGAAGGGCCUGAAGAUGAAGCUCAUAUGCCCUUGACUGCUCAUGAUUUAUUAAUAAUGGCCUGCAAUCUACUCCAUAUUGUGGAUAAGUGGCAAAAAUGAUGAGUAAGAUUAGCAAAAGCUGUGGAACUAUGAAGAGAGUCUUGGUGUAAGAGAAAGCCAUUUAUGUAGUUUUUUUGGGUGAAACUAACACAGAUGUUCUAAUUCUAUAUAAUGAAUAUCGAAUUAUUUUGCUUUUAGAUAUUCUUUGGGAAGGGAUAGAACUAGAAUAUAAUGAGCUGG
rnacentral:lncRNA from 1 species